CUUUUGGUCUUUGUAGUAUAACAAUUACUCCGGUCUUGUAAACCGAAAAUGAGGAACUCUAUCCUCCAAAGA
rnacentral:tRNA from 1 species